AAAGGUAUGUGCCUGGAGGUCAGACGUUUGUCCUGGGGCUACCUGGUUGAUCCUGCCAGUAGCAUAUGCUUGUCUCAAAGAUUAAGCCAUGCAAGUCUAAGUACACAUGGCUGGUACAGUGAAACUGCGAAUGGCUCAUUAAAUCAGUUAUGGUUCCUUUGAUUGCUCCAACGUUACUUGGAUAACUG